GGCUGAGGAGGAUGGGAGAACGACAGAUGGACGAUUAUUCCAAUGACGCGUGGCAGAACUCCUAAAAUUCGGGAACUGUGUUAAGGUAGUAGUAAUUCCAAGAGCCUUCUUGAGUCCUUUCAUUGUUGAGAGAAUGUCUAAACCCCUUUUUAGUGCUUUUAGGUGGAAUCUCCGAACCUUUAAGUCACCAAAAAGGGUCUUUUGAUCUUCCAAGAGUCCAAGUCUUGAAUAUCCAGAGAAGUCCCCUUUCCAAAUGGAAUGGAAGGAGUAUUUAUAGGGUUUUCUGGAAAGUAGUCAUGUGCAAGGCACAUGCCUUCAGGAAAAUUCCAUAAAUACCCUUUAGUCAUUAGAAUAAUGCCCAUAUUGUCCUGUCAUUCUAGCCACCAAUCCAAUCCGUCAAUCAAUUUCCAAAACGAGCCGCCUCCACAAGUCUUCUGCCUUGGGACAAGUGGAGGCUUCUCUCGGGUCUAG
rnacentral:lncRNA from 1 species